rfam:Oryza rufipogon genomic scaffold, chr01
AAAAAUUUUAUUCGUGGUUUUUCUGUUCAAUAUUUAAUCGUCUGUCUUAUUUGAAUUUUUUUAUAAUUAAUAUUUUUAUUGUUAUUAGAUGAUAAAAUAUAAAUAAUACUGUAUACAUGACUUAUUUUCUAAUUUUUCAUAAAUUCUUCGAAUAAGACGAACGGUUACGUUGGAUAUACAAAUCC